rnacentral:rRNA from 1 species
UACGAAGGGGGCGAGCGUUGUUCGGAUUUACUGGGCGUAAAGGGCGCGCAGGCGGCUCAUUUUGUCAGGCGUGAAAGCCCCGGGCUUAACCUGGGAACUGCGUUUGAUACGGAUGGGCUAGAGUUCGGGAGAGGAGAGUGGAAUUCCUGGUGUAGCGGUGGAAUGCGCAGAUAUCAGGAGGAACACCGAUGGCGAAGGCAGGUCUCUGGGCAUUAACUGACGCUGAGGAGCGAAAGCAUGGGGAGCGAACAGG